rnacentral:rRNA from 1 species
UACAGGGGGUGCAAACGUUGCUCGGAAUUAUUGGGCGUAAAGGGCGCGUAGGCGGACAUUUAAGUCGGGGGUGAAAGCCCAGGGCUCAACCCUGGAAUUGCCUUCGAUACUGGAUGUCUUGAGUUCGGGAGAGGUGAGUGGAAUGCCGAGUGUAGAGGUGAAAUUCGUAGAUAUUCGGCGGAACACCAGUGGCGAAGGCGGCCUUCUGGACGGAUACUGACGCUGAGACGCGAAAGCGUGGGGAGCAAACAGG